AAUCAGGGCAGUUUAUUUCCACGAAAAUUUCACAGUUUCUCUUUAACGAGCUGUAAUCUUAUGCAUAAUCUUGUUAGGUCUCAUCACGAGACGCAUGCAGGCCAUUUUCGAAAUAAUUAUCAGUCACUUCUAAAUGGUUCCUAUGACAACAACAUUACAAGUCAUGGACAUUGAUAAUAGUGCUAGUGUUGUAACAACAGAGUGAUUAAAAUUAUAAUCAUUUAAAAACGGAUCGUUAUUAGUGUUGAAAAUCAAGGACAAGGAGAAAAAGUUGUUUUCUUUCUCGGUGCCAUUUACAACCAAUAGGUGGCAGCACUGUUCCUUUCCAAUUAAAAAAUUCCGAUGUCGUAAAUUGGCCUGAACGUGUGAGCAAGUUUGGGUUCUAGUUUUGAUAUGAACGUUCAUUCGGAAUCGGAACUAGGAAAAUGAUAGAUAAUAAAACCAUAAAAAAUUAUUGAUUCGUAGUUAAAACGUAUUCGGCACACAAAUGGAUGUUGGUGUGAAAAUGGCAGGUUUUCCUGACUUGAGAACAGUAGGUGUUACAAUCAAGAGGUGGCAGCUGGCGUUCGCAACGUUUCGUAAACAAUAGCUCGAAACCAUCAACAAGAAAAGAAAAUAUAUGUACUAUAUCUUUCCGAAUAGCGUGAUCCACCGAUAUCCGCAUGAUGUCGAGCGAUGAAUACCGACUGCAAUCCCGACAUUAGCAUGCCAAGAGCAAACCGAAUAAUGCCGUUGACCUUAAUUGGAGGACCGAUGCAGUCGAAAACAUUCUAAAAAUGGCUGAUGAAAAUAUUGAUCAGAUGUAUCGUGUAAAUAAGACACACACACACACACACACAAAGAGAUUGAAAAGUAAUAUCGCCUUGGCCAACUGACGUCGUUUUAUGCUACAAUAACAUCGCUUUUGUAAGAGCUACAAACGAAUACCUACGUUCAUAUGAGAAGAAGUAGAAGAAGCCAUAAGACCUUGACGACAAUUGCUGUCUGCGAAGUGAAACUUUGAAAGAAAAAAGGGGACAAAAAAUCGUAUGGAAGAGGCACGUCUGCUGGUCGCUUUACUGCAACAACCUCAUUAGCUCAAGAGCAUAUGGGCUCGAGGGCUAUUUUUCAGCUUUUUUUGUGUUUGUUACGUCGCCAGCAGACGCUAUUUGGGAUUGCGGUUUAAACUGGUGGCGGCAUUCGACGGAAAGAACAAUUCACACCGCUUUCGAAACGGCUUGUACACGAAAAACAAAUGCGAGCGUAAAAACUGAUGAUCAGUGCAGCUGCUUUGAACUUGACUUUGGCAGAUUGCGUCAGAAGAGAAUAUCAAAGAGUUGCUGUUUGUCGCCAACAGCCGACAACAAUAAUGGCUUUCACGUUCGCCUUUGUGUGCAGCAGAGACAGGUGCGUCAUGGAGACUCUUGAGGAUUGCUGCCGCACAUGUUAGGUCGUGCUACAUCCAGCUGGUCCUAAUGAAGAUCAAGAACGAAAGCAAAUUGGCUACAUAUUGCGUGCAUGCCACGUAACCAUCAGCGAACACGUCCGGGUCAUCGUCUUUUUGGCCGCCUACUCAUCUGAGAAAAAAUCAGCUCAAUAUUUCAAGUCCCGAUGGACACUGUGGGGGGACAGGACGUUUUUCCGUGCUUGUUACAUCAUUCGGCUGAUGCUUUUACAUCAUAUGGCAUAGUGGCCUUCUUGGUUAAACAAACUGCACAGUCAACUGGCAUGGGAAGAAAGAGCGACCGCAGUUUUGCAGAGCCAUUUUGGAAAGAAAAAACAAAACAAAAACGGCCGAGUAUUUCCCCAUUCGCAGACCGCGCAGCCUUUUUGUUGUUGCGUCUUUGCUUAUGUGCUAGGAAAAUGACAAGUUACAUCACCGGGAAAUGAUCACGCAGGCAUGCAGAAUAUCGGUGAUAUUGGAUACGUGCAAAAGAGCGUAGGCAGACACUUUGCUUGUAAAUCGCAUCGUUCAGCAGCUUGCCUAUGGUGUUGUAAAAUAAAUGUCGUGAAGUAAAAAGGCGGCAAUUUCGAAUACUGAUGACAACCUUGGUGGCUAUUAUAGUCUGCGUCUUGAAUAAUGGAUGCAUCCAAGCAAGAGAACCUCCGUCAAUCUACUUUUGAUAGGCUGCCUUGAUUGCCUGAUUUUUAAUCGCUUUAUCCGUUGAUUCUGUUCAUGGUUCUCAAGAUGCGCUAUCCAGCAAGUCAUAAAACGACGAAGACGAUCGUCAAAGUCUUCCGCAUUUUAUAAUGUGAUGCACGAAAAAUGUAAGGGAGGAAAAAAAGAAAAAAACUAGAAUUCAAAUAAAAUAAAGUCAGAAACAAGAAAAACAACUCACGAUGCGCAAAGGCCUACGAUUGUAUUGAUUUCCUCCCGGGCUCGCGCAGCAGCAGCAGUAACACACGUACACAAAUAGAUACACUCAAGUACAACACAAGUAUCAUCAUUUAGUGUGUUGAGACGUUUUUUUUUUAUUAUUAUUUUAUUUUUUUUGUUGUUGGAAUAUUUCACCUAGAAAUAACAAGAACAACA